UUGAGUGAGACAGAGGAGAGUGGAAUUUCGUGUGUAGGGGUGAAAUCCGGAGAUCUACGAAGGAACGCCAAAAGCGAAGGCAGCUCUCUGGGUCCCUGUCU
rfam:Solanum tuberosum cultivar DM 1-3 516 R44 scf00096_24, whole genome shotgun sequence.